GGGACACGUGGUAUCCUGUCUGAAUAUGGGGGGACCAUCCUCCAAGGCUAAAUACUCCUGACUGACCGAUAGUGAACCAGUACCGUGAGGGAAAGGCGAAAAGAACCCCGGCGAGGGGAGUGAAAAAGAACCUGAAACCGUGUACGUACAAGCAGUGGGAGCACGCUUAGGCGUGUGACUGCGUACCUUUUGUAUAAUGGGUCAGCGACUUAUAUUCUGUAGCAAGGUUAACCGAAUAGGGGAGCCGAAGGGAAACCGAGUCUUAACUGGGCGUUAAGUUGCAGGGUAUAGACCCGAAACCCGGUGAUCUAGCCAUGGGCAGGUUGAAGGUUGGGUAACACUAACUGGAGGACCGAACCGACUAAUGUUGAAAAAUUAGCGGAUGACUUGUGGCUGGGGGUGAAAGGCCAAUCAAACCGGGAGAUAGCUGGUUCUCCCCGAAAGCUAUUUAGGUAGCGCCUCGUGAAUUCAUCUCCGGGGGUAGAGCACUGUUUCGGCAAGGGGGUCAUCCCGACUUACCAACCCGAUGCAAACUGCGAAUACCGGAGAAUGUUAUCACGGGAGACACACGGCGGGUGCUAACGUCCGUCGUGAAGAGGGAAACAACCCAGACCGCCAGCUAAGGUCCCAAAGUCAUGGUUAAGUGGGAAACGAUGUGGGAAGGCCCAGACAGCCAGGAUGUUGGCUUAGAAGCAGCCAUCAUUUAAAGAAAGCGUAAUAGCUCACUGGUCGAGUCGGCCUGCGCGGAAGAUGUAACGGGGCUAAACCAUGCACCGAAGCUGCGGCAGCGACGCUUAUGCGUUGUUGGGUAGGGGAGCGUUCUGUAAGCCUGUGAAGGUGUGCUGUGAGGCAUGCUGGAGGUAUCAGAAGUGCGAAUGCUGACAUAAGUAACGAUAAAGCGGGUGAAAAGCCCGCUCGCCGGAAGACCAAGGGUUCCUGUCCAACGUUAAUCGGGGCAGGGUGAGUCGACCCCUAAGGCGAGGCCGAAAGGCGUAGUCGAUGGGAAACAGGUUAAUAUUCCUGUACUUGGUGUUACUGCGAAGGGGGGACGGAGAAGGCUAUGUUGGCCGGGCGACGGUUGUCCCGGUUUAAGCGUGUAGGCUGGUUUUCCAGGCAAAUCCGGAAAAUCAAGGCUGAGGCGUGAUGACGAGGCACUACGGUGCUGAAGCAACAAAUGCCCUGCUUCCAGGAAAAGCCUCUAAGCAUCAGGUAACAUCAAAUCGUACCCCAAACCGACACAGGUGGUCAGGUAGAGAAUACCAAGGCGCUUGAGAGAACUCGGGUGAAGGAACUAGGCAAAAUGGUGCCGUAACUUCGGGAGAAGGCACGCUGAUACGUAGGUGAAGUCCCUCGCGGAUGGAGCUGAAAUCAGUCGAAGAUACCAGCUGGCUGCAACUGUUUAUUAAAAACACAGCACUGUGCAAACACGAAAGUGGACGUAUACGGUGUGACGCCUGCCCGGUGCCGGAAGGUUAAUUGAUGGGGUCAGCGCAAGCGAAGCUCUUGAUCGAAGCCCCGGUAAACGGCGGCCGUAACUAUAACGGUCCUAAGGUAGCGAAAUUCCUUGUCGGGUAAGUUCCGACCUGCACGAAUGGCGUAAUGAUGGCCAGGCUGUCUCCACCCGAGACUCAGUGAAAUUGAACUCGCUGUGAAGAUGCAGUGUACCCGCGGCAAGACGGAAAGACCCCGUGAACCUUUACUAUAGCUUGACACUGAACAUUGAGCCUUGAUGUGUAGGAUAGGUGGGAGGCUUUGAAGUGUGGACGCCAGUCUGCAUGGAGCCGACCUUGAAAUACCACCCUUUAAUGUUUGAUGUUCUAACGUUGACCCGUGAUCCGGGUUGCGGACAGUGUCUGGUGGGUAGUUUGACUGGGGCGGUCUCCUCCUAAAGAGUAACGGAGGAGCACGAAGGUUGGCUAAUCCUGGUCGGACAUCAGGAGGUUAGUGCAAUGGCAUAAGCCAGCUUGACUGCGAGCGUGACGGCGCGAGCAGGUGCGAAAGCAGGUCAUAGUGAUCCGGUGGUUCUGAAUGGAAGGGCCAUCGCUCAACGGAUAAAAGGUACUCCGGGGAUAACAGGCUGAUACCGCCCAAGAGUUCAUAUCGACGGCGGUGUUUGGCACCUCGAUGUCGGCUCAUCACAUCCUGGGGCUGAAGUAGGUCCCAAGGGUAUGGCUGUUCGCCAUUUAAAGUGGUACGCGAGCUGGGUUUAGAACGUCGUGAGACAGUUCGGUCCCUAUCUGCCGUGGGCGCUGGAGAACUGAGGGGGGCUGCUCCUAGUACGAGAGGACCGGAGUGGACGCAUCACUGGUGUUCGGGUUGUCAUGCCAAUGGCACUGCCCGGUAGCUAAAUGCGGAAGAGAUAAGUGCUGAAAGCAUCUAAGCACGAAACUUGCCCCGAGAUGAGUUCUCCCUGACUCCUUGAGAGUCCUGAAGGAACGUUGAAGACGACGACGUUGAUAGGCCGGGUGUGUAAGCGCAGCGAUGCGUUGAGCUAACCGGUACUAAUGAACCGUGAG
rnacentral:rRNA from 1 species